rnacentral:lncRNA from 1 species
GUCUGGGGAUGCUGCGAUGCUGCAGGCUCUGCAAAUUUGUGUCUCAAUUGCCCAUAAUCACUUCAAUUAUUCAAACAAUUAAACUAUUCUUUCCAAAUAUUUCCAGGGACCGGCAUCUGCAUUUAUAGCUUCCAUGACAUAGACUAGGCCAGAGCAAAAAAACAAUCUUGUUCUAUAGAACAGCUCAGGAUGGCUCAAAUAUAAGGCCCUCUCAUAGCUGUUUGCAACCCAAGUCUAAAUUUCAGCUUUCUCUUUUAGUCUGUGGGCUCAUUUACUGGCUCUGUAUCCCUGGUUUGGAUGUAACUAUGGGUUGGCUUUGCAAGUUUCAAUAGGGAAUGGCACAAGAAUGAAAAUAGAAAUGCCUGAGCUGCCAAAAUGCAAGCCUGGAUCUCAUAGGACACUGCAUUAGGUGCCAAAAGACUCCUCCGGGGAUUGGCUUGCCACGCUCCACAUCCUCACACUCUGCUGGGAUUGCAACUGUCUGCCCGGCCCCAGCUGGUGGCCCUGCACUGGGAAGGAGUCAGAACAGGGGCUGUGGAAGAAUGAGAACAAAUCAAAGAAAACAGACUGAUUAAACUGGAGGAAGAAAGAAAUUUCCUCAGGAGAAAGGGGGAAGCCAAUCCCUGCAGAAGAAAACAUGAGGGAGCAAACAGUCAGCCCUGCAGAUCCUUUCCAUCUGGACAACUGACAGGAGAUAAGAGAAAGACGAUAGGACCAUCUCAGCCUGAAUGGUGACACUUGUAACUUCUCAUAUUCCACGGCAAGAACUAGUCUUUUGGUCCUACCUAGAUGCAGACUCUACCACAUACAUCAACAAACAUUUCCUGAGUGCUAAUAUGUGCUGAGGCCUGCCCUGAUGCAAGGGAUACAGAAAUGAACAAAACAUAGUUCCAGUCUUUUCAGAGCUUUUAAUAGCACAGGCAAUCAAGGAUUACCAAAUAUCUGAGCCAAGUCUCAAAAUGGAUGGGAAGAUCAAAACGAACAACUGACAAAAACAACUAGGAGGAAACACAAUCCAGCAACCAUCAUUGAUAUCCUCAGAGAGAUAAGAGAAGAUGCUGCAUCCAUGAAACAAGAAUAGGAGGAUAUUUAAAAAGAAAAGAAAAAAGAAGGCCUUCAAAUUUAAAAAUAUUCCAGAAGAAAAAUAUUUUUAAAAACCACUAUUGAAAGAUUAGAAGAUAAUUUGAGUAAAUAUCCCAGAGAGUAGAUCAAAAAGACAAAAGAAUGAAAAAUAAGAAGGAAAAUAUAACAAAAUUGAAGCUCUAGUCUUCCCAUGAAGAAAGGACAAGAGAAAAUGGAAGGCAGGAUAUAAUUUAAUUUCUCUUAAUUAAGGAAUAUAAUUUACCACACUGGAAGGACCUAUGACAGUGUGGAAACAAACCCACACUAAGGAAUAUCAAUGUAAAAUUUCAGAAUUCUGCAUGAAGACAAAGAGAAGAUUCUAUGAGCUUCCAAGGAAGCAAGAGGGUGAAAAAGGAUCACAUACAAAAGAUGAGGAAUCAAGUGGCUUUGAAGUUCUCAGCAGCAACACCAGUAGUACUAGAUAAACACCUUCAUAAUGUCAAAAGCAAAUAAUUUCCAACCUAGAGUGUUUUACAAAAUCAAGCUGUCAAGUAUGACGGUAGAAUAAAAACAUUUUCAGUACAUACUUGGUAUCAAGAUAUCUGUCAUGCAUGAUCUGUUUUUAAGAAGUCCCUUAAAGAUGUACUUUAUCACAAUGAGAAAGAAAAGCCUAGAGAGAAGAUACAGGAUGCAGGAAACAGGAGAUGUCAUACAGAACGGUGAAGGGAAUCACAAGGAGACUCUAGGAUUUCAGUGACUCGUUGCCACAGUGUGACUCAAGAGGCAAACAAGAGCUGAAAUCACCCAGAUACCCCCUGCUACCUCUUUUUUAUCUGGGACAGAAUGUACAGAUGAGCCUGAUCCAGAUUUUCAUCCAGACUUGCCAGAAGCAGGUGCUAUGAAGUUCUUCCACCGCUCCACUCUCCACCAUGUCCUGCUGCAGGGAUUAACCAAGGCACUCAUUUCCCUGACAGAAGCGCUCAUGGUGGGUUUAGAAACACCACGUACAGAGCAGCCCUCUCCUGCUGACCCUAUUCCUGCUGGACACCUAGUACCUGCCUGCCAAGUAUCUAUACUGUGGGGGAGAAUGUACGAGCCAUAUCUCUAUUCUAUUGUAUGUAACCCUUAUAAUUCAUU